UUUUCUGUUCAUUAAAUAUGUAUGUUUUGUUUUUUCUCAGCAACAAUGUUCCUGAGCACUUUGACUCCCAAGUUCUAUGUUGCUCUUACUGGAACAUCUUCACUUAUCUCUGGACUGAUUCUGAUAUUUGAAUGGUGGCAUUUUCGAAAAUAUGGAACUUCGUUUAUAGAACAAGUGUCCCUUAGUCAUCUAAGUCCAUGGCUAGGAGGGGGUGAUGCUACCAGUAGUGAGCCAUCUACUCCAAGCACAAACAAUAAUACUCCUCAAUCUUCUGUACCAGAAUGUAAAGUUUGGCGGUAUCCCCUAAAUAUCUUGCGUGGUGGGGAGUAUCAGAGAUUUAAUUCCAGUAUACUGGAAA